CCUAGGUCUUCAAGGACUUCAGAAAGUUGUCUGCUCUACCUUUGAAAUGUCUAGAAUCUGACCAUCUUUCCAUAUCCUCUACCCACAAAUCCAUCCUCCUCACCGUCACUCCUUCCUUACUGAUUUCACGUAUGAGAAAAAACACAUUGGUCUUUCUGAAUCUAGCUUAUUUUGCUGAAAAUCAGCUUAACGUGCUUCAAAGGAAACGAAGUGAAGAGACAGCCUACAGAAUAGGAGAAAAUCUUUGCUAGUUAAUCUUCCAGCCGAG
rnacentral:lncRNA from 1 species